CCAAAAGGUCAGACAAACCCUGAACCAGAAGGAAACCAAGCUCCAGAGAUAAGAGCUUCCCUCCACGGCCAGCCCCGAGGCAGGGCUUUCUCUAAGGGGUCCUGCUGUGUAGGAAAGGGAGCUCAUGUCCUCUCCAUGUCACACUGCAACUGGGAAGCACUGUGCUGCCAGUGAGAAGGGAAGCAGGAGGCAGAUCCCCUGAGCCCCUCCACUGCAGAAACCCACAGGAAUAGGGUGCUCAUCACCAUGGGACCUGUGUGCAGAGGCAGAAGGAACCUGAGCCCACCUUGAAUCUCCAACAAAGAGAGAAGUAACCCACGUGCAAUAAAAGAGCUUGGAUUAAUUUCCACGCCCACGGUGGAUACAUGGACAAGAGCUACAGGUGAUUCCUGGGGCAGCUGUAAAAACCCUUUGGGCUGCCCACAGAAUCAUUUAGGUGGGAAAUGACUCUGAAGAUGAUUGAGUCCAACCAUCAGUGCAAGUCCCUCCCUCGCUGAGCCAGCAGUGCAGCUCCAGCGUCCUGGGAUUACAUCAGUGGGCAGGCAGCUGCCUGCCUUUAAAACCCCUUUGAUAUUACGUUCAGUGAGUUCAUUGAUCCUUCAGCAGAUUGCAUUAGGAGCAAAGGGCUGGCAAGGGGACAGAAUAUCUAAUUUCCCCAAGCCUUGCCCUGUGUUUGGGAAGAAAGCUGGAUGCAGGCAGUCCAUGUGAGUCCUGAGUUUUUUAUGGCUUUAUUACUGUGGAUGUGGAGAGAAACGGAGAGCAUCAGGGCUCGCUGCACAGAGCACGGCACAAAAAUCCCAGGAGCUGCUCCUCUGACUGGCAAUCAGCUGCCAGAGCUGCUUUAUCGCCUUAGAACCAGAUCCAGAGCAGGGAGCAAGUGAAAGAGCCCUACCCAUGCGAGGAGAAGGGCUGUGGCAGCCCAGCUCCCAGCUCUGGCUAUUAAACACUCCCUGUUCCCAAACGCAGUCCAAACAAACGCCAGCGGGCCAUCCUUACCCGCUUCUCAACAUAAAAGCCCUCAAGAGUACUACCCCAAAGCUGGAGAAACCCGAGUCUCCCUUCCCCCUCUGCUCCCUCCCUGCUGGUUUCGGAAACGGAGAGGAAAUACUUGUAAUGUUAUCAACAUAAACACAGCUCUUGGCCGGCUGCAACAUCCUGCGAGCUCUGCAGAAAAACACCCUGACGUCACGGCGCCGGCUCUGCCGAGGAGAAAGGAGCUUGCUCGGGCACCGCUGCCCCGUGGGUUGGGAUGCUCAGCACCACGUCUUCCUUCCAAACCUCUUCCAAAGUCGAGGUUGGAAACCUGAAUCCUUGCUAGGUGGUGUCAGCAAUGUUAUGUAUGUUGCACUCUGCUGUACGCGGCUCCGGGAGCUUCCUGCUCGGGGUUUCGGCUGUAGGAUGUGUUCUAUUCAACAUGAUUGAUGGUGGGGGCAGGGAGGAAAUAAUCUCUUUAUAAAGUAAUA